rnacentral:rRNA from 1 species
GACGAACGCUGGCAGCGUGCUUAACACAUGCAAGUCGAGCGGUAAGGCCCUUUCGGGGGUACACGAGCGGCGAACGGGUGAGUAACACGUGGGUGACCUGCCCUUAGCUCUGGGAUAAGCCUGGGAAACUGGGUCUAAUACCGGAUAUGACUCCAUGACGCAUGUUGUGGGGUGGAAAGCCUUGUGCGGCUAGGGAUGGGCCCGCGGCCUAUCAGCUUGUUGGUGGGGUGAUGGCCUACCAAGGCGACGACGGGUAGCCGGCCUGAGAGGGCGACCGGCCACACUGGGACUGAGACACGGCCCAGACUCCUACGGGAGGCAGCAGGUGGGGAAUCUUGCGCAAUGGGCGAAAGCCUGACGCAGCGACGCCGCGUGGGGAUGACGGCC